GAUGAACGCUGGCGGCGUGCCUAAUACAUGCGAGUCGAGCGAACGGACGAGAAGCUUGCUUCUCUGAUGUUAGCGGCGGACGGGUGAGUAACACGUGGAUAACCUACCUAUAAGACUGGGAUAACUUCGGGAAACCGUAGCUAAUACCGGAUAAUAUUUUGAACCGCAUGGUUCAAAAGUGAAAGACGGUCUUGCUGUCACUUAUAGAUGGAUCCGCGCUGCAUUAGCUAGUUGGUAAGGUAACGGCUUACCAAGGCAACGAUGCAUAGCCGACCUGAGAGGGUGAUCGGCCACACUGGAACUGGGACACGGUCCAGACUCCUACGGGAGGCAGCAGUAGGGAAUCUUCCGCAAUGGGCGAAAGCCUGACGGAGCAACGCCGCGUGAGUGAUGAAGGUCUUCGGAUCGUAAAACUCUGUUAUUAGGGAAGAACAUAUGUGUAAGUAACUGUGCACAUCUUGACGGUACCUAAUCAGAAAGCCACGGCUAACUACGUG
rnacentral:rRNA from 1 species